UUGGUGCCCGGCCAUGCCCCAUCGAUGAAGUCCUCUGGGGCACACAGACUGAGGCUGGCAGGGACGAACUUUCUAAAGCACCACAAAGUUCCUUGGCCCCCACACAACGUCUGGCCCCAAAGCCUUCAUUUCUCAGAUAAACAAAGACAAUCCAGCCCAACUUCCAACCUGGCCACCGGCCAACAGGCACUUGGGUUCAAGACUGAUUUUGUUGAAACAGCUGAAUGUGCACCAGGCAGACCCGGCCCUUCUGCUCUGGAUCCCUUCUCUCUGUCUCUGGCUGAAGACGAGAGCAUCCUGGGGUCGGGACUCUUAAUCCUCCUAACCUAAGGGAGGAUGUGCGCCUGACACAGGGCCAAGGCCCCCCGACACCCUGAUGCGCGGCCCCGGGCCCAUCUGGAAUGUUCAGAAAUGCUGCCAUCUUGUGGCGCCUGCAGGCCGGAGCAAGGCACCUUCCGGCUGAUCUUGAAGUUGAUUCCUAGAAGAUGUUGCUCCAAAUAAGCACACACAGACUGUGUGCAUUUGCAUUGCCACAUGCUAAGCCGCCUAUACCACCCACUCACUGCUACCCCAGGUGUGUUAUCUGCUUUGGGCCAGCCUGAGGUAAAACUGUCAACACUGAAAAUCAUUACCUUUGGCACCUCCCAGCUCUCCGGAAGUUAUCUGGUCUGUAGACAACAAGUCCCUGAGGGAAGUGGGUGGGGCACAGGGCAGGUAAGUUUUGACAGAAAAGGAAACUGGGCACAAAGUCUAAGGUGCUACAACAACAACAACAACAACAACAACAACAACAAAAAGAUGGGCCCUACAGGAGCCUGCUGAGCACAGAGUUACUGAGUUGAGCUGUUGGAAUCACAGUGGUAAGGGGCCCUCCCCGCUGGUGCAACAAGACACAACAGAGUGUAGUUAUUGUGCACUUGGACCCUCGGGUUAGCUAACCUGAGUUUGAGUCCCCAUUCCACCACUUGGUAGCUUUGUGACCCUGGUGAAGUUGCUUAACCUCUCUGUGCCUCCAUGUUUUCAACUAUAGAAUGAGGGAAAUAAGUUGUAAUUACCACAAAGGAUAGUUUUAAGGAUUCAGUGAUAUUUGUAAAAUAUUUAUAUAGUGUUGGUGCAUUAUAAUUGUUAAAUAAAAAUUAAAUCAAAUGUUGUGUAGAUUUGGAAGCAGGAUUAAUUUAUCCCGUACCUAUUUUAUUCAGCACCCUUGCCCAGUGCUAGGUGUCAGAGGUGCAGAAAUGGAGUUCCAAUUGUGGCAUAUAUACAGUUACUAGGGAGCAGAGGUGAAGGCAGGCUGAGGUUUAAGCAACUACCUUAUUAUUCCCCAGCUGUGAAGCCCUGGCAAAUGUCCGUUCCCCAUCCUGAGUCUGUUUCCCCAUCUUUGUGUUACUGGUGGAGGAUGUCCAGGUUCUUGUUGUUUUGAACAAAGAAUUGGACAAAAUGCACAAACGAAAGAAUGAAGCACCAAAGCAGAUUUAUUCAAAGGAAAGUACACUCCACAGAGUGUACUCUACAGAGUGGGAGCGGGCUUCAGCAAGUGGCUCAAGAGUGCUGGUUACAGAACUUUCUGGGGUUUUAAUACCCUCUAGAGGAUUCUCAUUGGCUACUUGAUUUACACCCUGUGUAAAUGAAGUGGUGGCCCGUGACCAGUCUGAUUGGUCAUGGAAGGUGAAGUUACAUCCAACGCAAAUGAAAUUACAAAGUUACAUCCUAUGCAAAUGUCUGAUUGAUUGUGGGAGGGGACCAGAGACUGAAGUGAAGUUACAAAGUUUCACCUGUAUGCAAAUGAAGACUAGGCCCGCAACAGGACUUUCCAUUUUUUCAUCUAUGACAUAGAAAGCAGGGAGUGCAAAGGGAGUAGCCUCUGAUCGUUUUGUUACUUGAACAUGGAAAGUUGGGGUUUUCCUUUCAAUUCAGUUCCAGGAAGUCAGUGCAAAUCAGCCUUAGGUUCCCUGCCCCCACACCCCAUUCUCCUGUCUCAUUUGAAAUGAGGGUAUUGGACUAUGACAGUGUUUCUUCAUCCUGGCUCCUCAUUCAAAUCACCUAGGGGGCUUUUAAAAACUAUCAACACUGGGCCUUACACUUUCCCACUCUGACACUGAUAAUAUUUAGUCAACAAAUAUUAUGUGAGAAUCCAGGCUGGGAACAGUUUCUGCUAGGCACUGGGCUCCCUCUGGGGUAGAGUUAGAGGAUGUCAUCCUGUCCUUGAAAUAGUCUCAGCCCAUGGAGAAGUGCAAGUAUGCAGGCAACUUACUGAACACAAGUGGAGACUGAGGCAUGUCAUGAAAGAAAUCUAUACCAGGACUCAGAAGGGAAGGCAGAGGCAAGAGAUGGCUCUUCCACCUUGGAGGUGGGGUUGAAACUGUUGCAGGUAGCACCUGAGUUAGCCAGAAAAAAAUAAGGGCAGAGGGGACAGUUUCUCCCAAGACUUCCUAGCCCAUCCACAUGAGAAAAUCAAAUUGAGCCUUUAUUACCACACAUUUUUAAUAAAGGAAAGAGAUAGAUAACAAAGAAGGAAGUAGAAACUCGCACAGUCUGCCAUCCCAGCAUCCAUCCUGGGUCCCAAGGCAGGGUGCUCUUCUGGUCGAGGGGUUCAGUCCCAGGAGGGUUACAGCAGAUGCUGGAUGCGGUAUUAGUGACCUCUCCCGGACCACAGUCCCAUGCCUGCUGGGACCCUAUUUCUCCAAAGCAAAAAGCCAAAGGACUGAAAGUGCACAGGUCACUUCUGCCCACAAUCAUUGGUGAGAACUAACUAAACACAGCCAGCUCCUGGCACACCAGUUAAGCAAGCGGCCUCUGCAGCUCAGCACAUACUUGGGACAUAUGCUUCCCGCUUAUAGCUCUUGCAGUUCAACAACACAAUUCAUGCUUCCUCUUUCCCCAUCUCCCAGGUGAGAACAUCACAAAUAGAACUUUCAAGAAUGCAGUCUAUGGGGAUGAGGAAAGGCUUUGUAGAGGAGGUAGCGUGAAGGGUGGUGGGGCCCAAAGGACCAAUGUAUAGGCUGUAUGCUGUUUGCCGAAUUUCUCAGCUCUUUGCCAUCCAUGCUAGGCUUGUAUUUCCUUUGUUGUCCCUGUGUAGCCUUGUGGUUAGUUCUGACCAAUGCGUGUGGGCAGACGUGACCUGUGUCACUUUUGGGCCAGAGCACUAGACCCUCCAAAGCCCUCUCAUUCUCUCUGAUACAGUGACUAUAUUGUUUGAAAUGAUAGCUGCUCUGCCACUCUAGGCCCCUCCGUGAUUACGAUGAACAGAACCCCCUGCCAACCAUGAUGAACUUGGAGGAUGGGCAAAGAGAUAAAUCAUGUUAUUUUAAGUCACUGUGUUUGGGGGCUGUUUGUUACUAUAGCAUAGCUUAGCCCAUUCUGACUGAUACAAUGGUCAUGAUUUAGAUGAAUGACUGGCUAUCAGAGAAGAAGAUGUGAUUUUGAACCAGUCACGUUUCUUCUCUGGUCUUCACUUUUCUCUUGACAUGGUGACAUCGUCCUGGAAGGCUGAGCCUACACUCAGAAAGGAGGGAAAAGAAAGAGUCGCAUGCAACUUUUAUACAAUAGGUCCACAUAGACCUCUGUGUGUCUUUUCACACUAACCUGAGGAAAUGGAAGAGCAGGUGAACUUUCCACUUGUUGAGGUUGGAGAAGGAUGACUCCUCUGCGUUCCUGGUUUCCCACUUCAUCCCCACCCCACUACGCUUUCAUGCCUGGCACCAAUUGUACAUGUUCAAGCAAUAGUUUCCAUCUCCGGAUGUUCAUCAGAAAGGUGGGUAGAGCUAUUUUUAUUUCACCUUUUUACAAACUAAAAAUUUAUUUACACAUUUUAAGACAAAUUCAGGGCUCUGCCACAGUCUGAGUUUAGAUUCACUCAAGAGUCCAUAGUCUACAAUGACAGCCUUGUACAGAGAAAACUGACACUUACCACAAUGGCCCUGCAUUGGGGUAAAGUCCUAAAAUGUCUUCAGAAAAUGAAAGAAAGAUACAAUUGUAUGUGAAAUAUCUUUAGUGAUUGAAGGAAUCUUAGAAAUCAUCUAGUUCAACACUUUCAGGUUACAAAUGAGAAGAAAUGAAACCCAGAAAGAGAAAGGAAAUGACUUACUUCCUCAGAGUGCUUGGGAGGUAGGUCCUCUGUCUUCUGGGACAGAGGGAAGAGGCUUGCCAGGUGCCCACUGACUCAGGUCCAGGACAGUGGCACACGUUUGUAUGUUGUUGUUAAACUGACUUUACCAGUCCCCAUGGGCUGGCGAGGCUUAGAGCGUUUUGGGUGAUAAAACAGGAAUACGUCCCCGUUUUAUUGAUUAAGGCACCAAAGCUCACAGAGAGUUCAAUGCCACGGCCAAAGUGUUAGGGCUAAUCAAAGGCAGAGCUGGGGCCAGGCUGUGUUCAUUUCCUACGUGGCUGUAACAAAUUACCACUGACUUAGUGGCUGAACACAACAUACAUUUCGUAUCUUCCAAGAGCCAGACCCGGGUCUCACUGGGCUAGUCAGGAUGCCAGCAGGGCUGUGUUCCUUCCAGAGGCUGCCGGCUAAAAACCAUUCCCUUGCCUUCUCAAUCUUCUAGCAGCCACCCGCAUUCCUUGGCUCAUGGCUUCCUUCUUCCAUCUUCAAAACCAACUAUGUUGCUUCUCUUGGACAGCUCUUCUGUGGUCACAUCUCUCUCUAACUGCAGUCAGGAAAGGGUCUCCCCUUUUAAGGACUCGUGUGAUUAGAGUGUGAUCACCAGAUAAUCCAGGGUAAUCUCACCAUGUUAUGGUCCUUAACCUUAAGCACACCUACAAAGUCCCUUGUGCCACGUUAAGGUAACAUAUGAACAGGUUCCAGGGAAUUAGUCAGGCACAUCUUUGAGGGCUCCCAAUUUAGAGCCCUGGGCCAUACACCAGGCUGUGCACCUGCCCUCCUUCCCUCCAUGCCCUCCCGGAUUCCCUUCAAACACAGGGAGUGACUUCACCUCGGGCUACAUCUGCUUCCAAACUGCUCAGCACGGUUCUCACCCAAACCCACCAUUUGAUUCAGAAAUUACAUGCAGGACUAAUUGUUGCUUGAGGCUCCUUAUGAAAUGGGGAUCAUUUAUAACAAAAAAAAAAAAACCCAGCACAAGGCUUCAAGGUAUGAAAUAAAUUGUUCCAGGAGGAGACAACACACACACAACCACAAACAUAUCAUUUGAGCCCAAUACUACACCUCCUACCCAGAAAAGCAAAGGCCUCCUAUUGUUAAAAGGACAGUGAAGGUACGUCUUCUUAUUUUAUUUUUUUAACCCAAUAAUAAAAUGGAGGCAGGAAGAUGAAGCAGAGAUGUUCCAGAUGUUCCAGGUGCUGAGAACAGGGCUGGUUGUGCCCUGAGAAAUCACAGCAAGCUCUCCUCUCUCUGGAUGUCAGCUUCCGCUUGUUUUGAAGGAGGAGAGAGGUUACCUGCAGACUCCUCUCGUGCAACCCUAUGAAGUGGGCAUUCUUCUUACUCACAUUUUCUGCAUGAGGACCUGGAGGCCCAGAGCUUGAGUAAGAUUCCACAGCUUUUCAGAGGCAGAGCUGGGAGACAAACCAAAGCCUGCUGAGCCGGGAAUCUCUGCUGGAACCCUCAGUGUACCUCUCUGAGAUGUUGACAGCACCCCCUACAGCUCUGAACACUUUUGGAGCAUAGCAGGUGCUUGAACAAAUCAUCAAUUGGCCAUUUUGUCAGCAGGAAGAGAAUUCAAGAAGAACACUAGUGAUUAUUCUUUUGAAGAGUUUGAAGAAAAUCCAGAUAAAAGAAGAAGAGUUUAACCAAAUUGGCUAAAGAUACAUAGGCCUUUGAAAAACAGGGAUUUUUAAAAUGAGAAAUGUUUGUCAAUUUUCCAUCAACAAACACUGGAUUAUUACCAGAUUAACAUUCAGUGAUAAUCUACAGUUGAAGAAUGCGACCCAGCACCCACCUAGUUUACCCUGGCUGUCAGGAGACCUCUCAGAUGCCUCCAUUUGGGAGAAAACUGAAUAUGUCAAAGGGCACCAGAUCUGGGAACCAAAGGGGAGAUGAGAACACUUGCGCCCUCUUUAUUUUUGUUGUCAGUAUGAAAUCAGGACUGUCUGGCUCUGUCUGAGGUUUAAAGCAAAUAAACCAAGAUCUGAAUGCUGCAACGGUGAAGGUAGACUGUGCAGGGAAGAGGAGAAGGAUGCCAAUCUUUAGAAGUCCUGGUUGUGCUGCUAUAUCCCUUGCCUGGAAUUGGAGAUUUGUGUGCAGUGUGUAUCUUCUGGUGCUGGUCCUCACCUCAAAGCACCUUGGCCUUUACAUCUGUUCCCAUGGACAGUCCAUGUUUGGUCAAUGUGAAGAACUUAGAGGUGCCAUCGUGCCUUCGGCUGGGGGCAGGGGUUCCCCUUAACCUUGCCAGUGGGGCAGCCUCUGACCUCACUCUUCCCACCCACACACAUUGCCUUUCCCUCCAAACCUUGCUCUUCAAAGAGUCCAGCCGAGCCAUUGUCUGGAUGGUCCAAAUUCUCGAGGUGGCUUGGGGAUACAGGACUCAAACUAAGAGCUGGGGGAGGAGAGAAGUAAAUUUGGCUCCUGACCGGGCCCCCUCAGCCUUCUGGGUGUAUCACAUACCACCCUCAUUUCUCCUGCCCUUUCCAAGCCUGUCCUGUGGGGUCAGGAGAUACAGAAGGGUUGGUGACUAUUAUACAACUUGAUUUUAACAAGACCAACUGUUCUGGGGCAUUACAAAAUACAUAAAAAAUAAAAGUAAAGCUCAAUCUUUGAGGUUGCUACCUGGAAAGUUUUUCUCUGGGUUUGUACUUUGAUUUUUGAGCUGUGCUUUUCUCAAUGCUGCAAAGGAGUUCUUAGGCUAGAUUAAUUUAGCAGUAGGAAGAUCUGGGCAGAAGAGUUAAUGUGUAUACGUGUCAGCUCUCAACCUACCCCCUGAAACUCCCAGCUUCAGAGGUAAGAUAAAAGUCUGCCCCUACCCACAAUUUAGAAGCAGGCUGCCCUGCAAGCCGGAUCCAGUCAACAGAUUUGUUUGCUUCAGCCUGUACACACUGUUGUACAGUGUGUUGAAUCAGUUUCCAACAUUUUUUGAAUCAGGGGCUUUAUAGCAUUUCUUAAGACAUCUGAAGAUCUGGCCACACAGGCCGACAUUUCUCAUAGGAACCACCAGCCUGGGUUGCAUAGAUAGAGCCCCCUAAGUGGUAGGGGGUUGGGGGAGGUUGAAUCUUCUCCUGCUGGGCCUGCAAUCUCUGGUCCACCACAGUCCCAAAGGCCUUUGGUCUUAGACUGCCCACUCCACUUCCAGAUGUUCCUAUCCCGCUCUUGCAGGUCUCUGCACGCUCAGCCUUGGCUGGGCUCAUAGACAAUCCCUGAGUUUUUCCACUUUGUUAUCCAUAGCAUUGGUAUAAGGGUGUCCAAACCCUCAGCUGUGACAACUUUUCAUAGUGGGGAUAGAGAGGAGGCAAGACUGAGGGCCCUGACUCACAAGCCCUCCCAGCUUUUCUGUCCCAAAUAAAGCAAAUGCAUUUUUUCACCUGCUAGAGCCCGAGGGGUUCUCUCUGCCCCCACCCACCUCCUCCUGGAAUACAUAUUUCCUUUCCUCUGAUACCUAAAGUAUUCUGGGGUGAGGAGUAGUUUGCAAGAUUUGGAUUUUUAAAAAUUCUUUCCCAGAUUUGUUGUGUCUAAUUUGGGCUGCAAGCGGUUUUUGGUGUCAAUGACUAACCACUGUUUGGUCUGCACAGCCAUUUCUGUUGAACUUGGAUAGCGCUGAAAGCCCAGUUUCCCCCAAAUAAAGUCUAAAUACAUUUACACAUUUAUUCCCACAUGCAUCUUUGUGUUUCUGCCUGUCUCCUCACACCUCACACAUGUGUGUGGAUGGGAACGUCCUGGAGAGAAAAGGGGCAGGUAACUUAAGCUUCUACUGUGAACUUCAGAAGAGAAAAAACAUCAGCAAGUUGACCCAGUUGGAUGGUAAGAGAUAAAGAUGCUUCCAAGAAAAGGUGUUAGAAUGAGAGUUUGGAUUGGAAUUUGGUUGUUUCCUUGUGAUCUAACAGACAAAUAAUAUCACUAGACAGAAAAAUGGGACAUAAAAUAGAGAGUUUAGGAAAAUAUGUGAAAAAGGUCACUAUCAAAAUUACCCCUCUCCCCAAAUCCAGCUGGGAUUCUUUAUCAAAAUCAGAGCUUUCAGUAGGUUUAAUAUUCACCAGUUUCUGAGACAGUUAUAACAACAGGUGAUGCCGGGCUUUAAUAACACGGAUGAUGACAGUUACCAUUUACAUAUUGACUCCUUUAAUCCUUACAACAACUCCAUAAAAGUGAUAUCUCAUAUACCCAUUUUACAGGCAGGAAAACUGACGCUUAACAUGAUUAAGUAAUUUGACCAAAGCCCGAGAGGUGGAAAGGGAUAGAGCUGGCAUUUAAACCCAUGCUGCCCUCCAGCAUAUCCUGGGCUGGGACAGCAGAAUGGGUACCCUCCUUGCCAGCUGGCUGGAGUAAGAAUCUGACAGACAGCCCACCUUGGUCAUGACUGGCUUGGGGACUGGCACAGUGGAGAGCCCGAGGGAGACAAAUGGCAUAUUUGGCCCACAAUUCCACUGCUAAAAGUGACCCUCAGGGAUGUGCCAUGAGAGUCACUGCCAUGAGAGGACCAGUGGCUCCUCUCCUCUCUGAUGAAAACUUGGACCUUUGGAGAUUAGCCCCACUCUAGGCUAUUUGAUAGAAUGGGCCACAGCCUGGGCAAUUCAGGUGAGUUUUGUUGUUGUUGUUG
rnacentral:lncRNA from 1 species